GGCGGUGUAGCUCAGAUGGUCAGAGCAUCCGGCUCAUACCCGGAGUGCCAGGGUUCGAAUCCCCGCACCGCCACCA
rnacentral:tRNA from 1 species